GUCUAAGUGCCUACCACAAGACCACAGAUUCAGGUGAGCAGUGGGUUGAAUAGUGUUCCCUGGAGAAGCUACUAUGUUCAAGUCCUAAUUCCUGGUACCGGUGACUAUAAACUUAUUUGGAAAUAAGAUCUCUUCUGAUGAAAUCAAGUAAAGAUAAGGUUCUAUUGGAAUAGGGUGGGUUCUAAAUUGGUGACCAAUAUCUUAAUAAGAAGAAAACAAGGCUCAAAGACACACACACAUGGAGAAGAAGACCAUGUGAAGGUUGAUGGAGGCGGAGAUUGGAGGCAGGAAGCCGAGGAUCUCAGGCAACCACCAGGAACUGGGAAGAGGCAAGGAAGGCCUUUCUCCUAGAGUUUUUGGAGGGAGCCUAGCCUGGCUGCCCCCUUCAUUUUGUGCUACUAGCUUCCAGAACUAAGAGAAUCAAUUUCUGCUGUUUCAAGCCGCCCACUUUAUGGUAACCCUAGGAAACUAACACAAGAGCUAUCGUCAUGAAAAUAAGACCUGGGAGUUGCUAAUGAUUCGAAGAGUUGAACGUAUAGCUUCCUUGGAUCUACUGUGUGGCUGGGAGGGAGGAAGACCAUGAGGGUUCGGAAAGGGAGCCUUCCUAACGGUUUCGAUGAUGCUGUGUCCUGGUCCCCGCAGGGCUCCCUCUGCCAGUAGAGCAGGCCCUGCCUUGUUAUCGGUGAAGCGGGUCCUGCCUUGCCUGGAAACCUCAAACAACUUCACCCAAGACAGUUAUGCUGCAAAGGUGUUACUCCUGAGUGCACUGCACUAAACACUUCCUGCACUCAAUCUACAUCUUAGAGUCUGUUACCAGCAGAAGGGGAUCUAAGACA